UACAGAGGGUGCGAGCGUUGUCCGGAAUCACUGGGCGUAAAGGGUGCGUAGGCGGGUCUUUUAAGUCAGGGGUGAAAUCCUGGAGCUCAACUCCAGAACUGCCUUUGAUACUGAAGAUCUUGAGUUCGGGAGAGGUGAGUGGAACUGCGAGUGUAGAGGUGAAAUUCGUAGAUAUUCGCAAGAACACCAGUGGCGAAGGCGGCUCACUGGCCCGAUACUGACGCUGAGGCACGAAAGCGUGGGGAGCAAACAGG
rnacentral:rRNA from 1 species